UAUAUAAUAUAAAAAUUAUAUUUGAUUUCCAAUCAAAAUAUCUAGAAAUGCUAGUAUAAAUA
rnacentral:tRNA from 1 species